rnacentral:rRNA from 1 species
AGGGCGUGCUAAUCUGCGAUAAGCGCCGGUAAGGUGAUAUGAACCGUUAUAACCGGCGAUACCCGAAUGGGGAAACCCAGUGUGACUCGUCACACUAUCAUUAACUGAAUCCAUAGGUUAAUGAGGCGAACCGGGGGAACUGAAACAUCUAAGUACCCCGAGGAAAAGAAAUCAACCGAGAUUCCCCCAGUAGCGGCGAGCGAACGGGGAGGAGCCCAGAGCCUGAAUCAGCAUGUGUGUUAGUGGAAGCGUCUGGAAAGGCGCGCGAUACAGGGUGACAGCCCCGUACACAAAAGCGCAUGUGCUGUGAGCUCGAUGAGUAGGGCGGGACACGUGGUAUCCUGUCUGAAUAUGGGGGGACCAUCCUCCAAGGCUAAAUACUCCUGACUGACCGAUAGUGAACCAGUACCGUGAGGGAAAGGCGAAAAGAACCCCGGCGAGGGGAGUGAAAAAGAACCUGAAACCGUGUACGUACAAGCAGUGGGAGCACAGGUUUACCUGUGUGACUGCGUACCUUUUGUAUAAUGGGUCAGCGACUUAUAUUCUGUAGCAAGGUUAACCG